AGCAAGGCUGCGGGCUGGAAAUGGAAACCCAAUGGGAGUGACGUCUAAAUAUGAAAAUGCAACUGCGAGUCCAGCAUUAGCAAUUAAUCGACUGCACAUGUUAAAAACCAGACCUGAAUAACCCUAAACACGGCUCCAAGGAAGCCAACACCAAAACAGCAGCAAAAGCCAGUAUGGGAGAUGAGAGAAACCCUCUCCUCAUGUGGCUGCUCCCUUAUGGACAGGCUCACUGCACUCUCUUCUAGCUCUUUACAGGAUUAAGAGCGAGUGACAGGGAAACAACGCGGGACGAGGAUGGAGCAGAGCUGGGCGCCUGGCUGAGCUGCCCACACGCACGGACCCAGGCCCCUCGGGCAGUGCCCAGCAGUGGGGUCCACAACCCCACAUCCAUUGUUGGUAGGUCAGGGUGGCCCCAUCUUCAUUUUAAGCCUUGAGCGACGUUUUGCAACUGCUGAAGCAAUUAAAAAAAAAAAAAAAAAAAAGAGGGUGGUGAUAAAUCAGGAGAAGGGUCAAAAGCUCCAGCUACAUCCUGACUCGACUCACAGAAGUCACUAGAUAUACGGUUUCUGAGAGCAGCGGGAGUCCAUCAGUCAGCGUUCAGACACGAUGUGACAUCUGGGAGGCCACCACCGACCCCGCCGAGCAGCCUCCCUGUCCCCGGGCUGCUAUUUCAAACGGAGACACGGCCCGGUGCGAAAGCAGCCGCAGCGACCCGCCAUCAACGAGACGCCGCUUCCAGGAACCGAUGACAACGCGAAUCCCACGGGGGCAGUCAAAAUGUCAGAUAAGAUGCAGAGUAUUCAUUACCUCCUCCGACAGCCAGAGCCAGCUGGAGGCUGGGAAGCAGAGGUUUCCCCGUGCAGAGCCUGCCCGUCGCCGCUCUGCCGUGGAUCAGCUUUGAACCCGGAGGUGCUGCGGGCUGAACGGCAGAGCACAGCCUUGGCUUCUUGGAAAUAAAGAGGAUUCUGUGCACAAGAAAGAGCCGAGCAUGUGUUCCUUUAUAAACUGCCCAACGCUGCUGUGCACUGGCAGCAGCCUUCCUCAGAUGUGGCUGACUUUCAGCUGUUACUAUAUUCAGAGCUUGUAAAAUGCUUUGGGAUGAUAAAAAUCACUGCAGAAAUGGUUACUGAAACUGUUUCCAGGAAAUCGAUCUGUGGAGACAGCGAAAGAGAAAGUCUUGGAUUUUCACAAAAGCUUCGACUAGACAAAUACCGCAGCUCAGGAAGUUUGGUUUCCUUGUCUUUUCGGCAAUAAACAUGAGCUGCACCGGGGUUUUAUUCCAUUCGCAGUGAACAAAACGAGCUAAGUCACGGAGCUCUCCGCAAAGCUACAAAGGCUCAGCACGUCCACGGCACCGCCCCGGAGCUCGAGCAGACGCCGUCCCUCGCCACCGAGCUGCCCACCAGGCUGCAGACCCAACGGAGGGAGAUGAGAGGGGCUGGAGGACAGUGCUGAGCGAUUUGGGAGGAAAUCCCCAGCUACAAAUUCCCAUUCAUUUGUGGAACACGAGCGUGCCUUGUCCUGGCACAGCCUUGGCCACAAAGACAGGGCGAGCCACAGAGCCGGCCGGAGACGAGGUGAAGGAACUGCCUUGAGACAAACCGGGCGACGCAGGAAUCUCGAAUAGUUUGCACUUUUCAACACAGCCCAACCCUCAGAUCGAGAGGGAGCCUGUUCCAACAGUGGCAGAAAACCCCUCGGGGUCACCUGGAGCUGGGGGCUUUCCGGCUCAAGCUGUGGAUUUGUUUGGGUUCCUGCUUCGCCCCAUUGGGUUUUGUGAUUACUGAUUGUCUGGAUCGAGGUCCCAGGCUAACGAAAUGCACGCUGCAGGAACAGUGCUUUUAUACGUGGAAAUAACGCAAGCCAUCUUCAGAGCGUGUUGAGCUUCCUCCUCCUCCAAACUCAGUGCCAGGAAGCAGCGUGCUCGGAGUUGGACGAGCUACAGGAAACACAAGCAAGUCAUCUGCUUGCGUCCCAGCGGCUUCCUCCAAGGAUCUGCCGUCAAGUUUCGGGCUGGUCACCCCCUCUCCACCCCUCAGUCAGAGCUGAUUAGAUGCAGCCACAGAGUCAAACUCCAACAUAUUCAUCUCAUUUGGCAGCUCUGCAGUUAGACUAUUAGCUCCAAGCUUUUUCCCUCUCCCUCCUUCUUGUUCAAUUAUCUGGCUUCAUCUUUAUUCCGUUUCCAGGAACACUUAGCAACAGGCUCUUGCAAUCAGCCGCCAGCAGGCGAGGAUCUGAGGAGCAGAUUCGGCAGUUGCUGAUGACCUUUUACUACACUCAUGCAAAUUUUAAAGAAAGUAUGUGAACAAUUUGCCUUUUAAGUAUCCUCUGGUUCCAUUCUCCACGAGUUAAUUCUCCUUCUGUUUUAGAGGCAUCGCAAACACCAGAUCUUAGGAUUUUACACUAAUGAGAACAAAACCCGCGGCUUAAUUUCCGUUUAUUUGGUGGAAUUUUGUUCCGUAUCUCACGUGGGAUCAGACAUUGGGAUCAGACCUCGAACAGGCGAAAAUUCGUCGGCACCACCUACCCGACCACACCUCUGAACACCAAACCCUGGCUGCGACCCCAGGACUCCUCUCCGCAGCAGGACAAAGCACGGGUGCUUCUCUUGGCCUCUGGCUUUUACUGGCAGAAAUCUGAAGCCUUCGCUCCAGGACACCCCAAGGGUACGUCUGGGGCCUGGCACAGCCUGCGGCGUCCCAAGGAAAAUCCAGCAGCUGUGAUCUCAUGGGUUAGAGCUUCUCAGCCAAGGCAGAGACAAAUGAGCAGGUCGGUGGUGACAGACAUUCCCAGGGGACUCGCCGUGGAGAUGCCAGGGGAGCUCCUGCCAAGUCCGGGGACUUAGGCAAGCGUUUCUGAGGACCUCUCCACGUCAGAAACAACGCACCAAACACCGCGAGGCUCCCAGAGGCUGGCAGCACCGACAGCCCUGUAGAUGGGAAGCAGGUAAACAGCAAACCUGGCUCUGGCAGAUCCCAACACGCAGCAGUCUUGGCAGCUGUGUCAACUCGUACCGGCAGCUGACCAGGCUGGGCGUUCAGCGGACGUAAAUCCCAGGAGCUUUCCUGCAUCUUCCCUGUUGCUCGGGGGCAGAUGCUCAUUACGCACACAGAGCACAUCAAAGGGCAGGAAGCGCAGGACAGCCGCCCCGCCACCGCACCCCGGGGCACGCGUACCGCCGGACCUGGCUACGGCCGCCCGCUGCGCUCGCCCCGAUCCUGCACAGAACAAGAGUCUGAUAGCGGCCCUUGAAGGAGACAGAAAUCCUCAGACCUGAAGGCUUGUGGUCUGGCAGCUGCUGCAGUGCCACAUCUUCACCUCCGAGCUCCGGCGUGGCUGCAGAGGGAGCCCAGCAACGGGGUGAGCCCGAGGGGGACGCCUGCCCUCGACCGAACGCUGCCACGUGGGCCGAGUGUCCAAGCAGUGCUUCCAGAAAAAGGUGAGUUUCCGGUCCUGGGAAUCGGCCGAGGGGCUCCCGGGCUUCAGAUCGGGCUCCCACCCUCUCCAGUGCCACUGGGGACUCCGGAAGAUGAAGUGCUCUGGGUGCAUCCCCACGCGACCUGCCACACGCCCCAACAAAACGUCACCGCAGCAGCGGUGUCAGCAGCAGAUUAAACGAGGUUGGGACCCCAGGCUGCCCGUCAUCAUAAAACACCACCCUGUAACCACCAAGGACUGUGAAAUA